UACGUAGGCGGAAAAUUAAGUCAGUAGUGAAAUACUGCAGCUUAACUGUAGAACUGUUAUUGAUACUGGUUUUCUUGAAUAUAGUUGAGGUAGGCGGAAUGUGUAAUGUAGCGGUGAAAUGCUUAGAUAUUACACAGAACACCGAUUGCGAAGGCAGCUUACUAAGCUAUGAUUGACGCUGAGGUACGAAAGCGUGGGGAGCGAACAGGAUUAGAUACCCUGGUAGUCC
rnacentral:rRNA from 1 species